rnacentral:rRNA from 1 species
UACGUAGGGAGCAAGCGUUGUUCGGAUUUACUGGGCGUAAAGGGCGCGUAGGCGGCUGAUCAAGUCAGCUGUGAAAUCUCCGAGCUUAACUCGGAACUGUCAGCUGAUACUGUUUUGCUAGAGUGCGGAAGGGGCAAUCGGAAUUCUUGGUGUAGCGGUGAAAUGCGUAGAUAUCAAGUGGAACACCAGUGGCGAAGGCGAGUCCCUGGAAAACUCCUGACACUGAGGCACGAAAGCUAGGGGAGCAAACGGG